GAUGAACGCUGGCGGCGUGCCUAACACAUGCAAGUCGAGCGAGUUAAUCUCCUUCGGGAGUGAAACUAGCGGCGGACGGAUGAGUAACACGUGGGCAACCUACCUCAUAGAGGGGAAUAGCCUUCCGAAAGGAAGAUUAAUACCGCAUAAGAUUGUAGCUUCGCAUGAAGUAGCAAUUAAAGGAGCAAUCCGCUAUGAGAUGGGCCCGCGGCGCAUUAGCUAGUUGGUGAGGUAACGGCUCACCAAGGCGACGAUGCGUAGCCGACCUGAGAGGGUGAUCGGCCACAUUGGGACUGAGACACGGCCCAGACUCCUACGGGAGGCAGCAGUGGGGAAUAUUGCACAAUGGGGGAAACCCUGAUGCAGCAACGCCGCGUGAGUGAUGACGGCCUUCGGGUUGUAAAGCUCUGUCUUCAGGGACGAUAAUGACGGUACCUGAGGAGGAAGCCACGGCUAACUACGUGCCAGCAGCCGCCGUAAAAC
rnacentral:rRNA from 1 species